AGCCCAUUCUCACCUCCUUCAAGGCAAGGUCUCCCAUGGAAAGUCAGCAGAGCCUGGUACAUUCAGUUGAGGCAGGUCCAAGCCCCUCCUCCCUGCACCAAGGCUGCACAAAGUGUCCAACCAUAGGAUUCUCAUUAAAUGUGGCAAUUUUGUGUCUUGCUUCCCUUCCCAAACCAUUUUAGAAUCACCUUCAUAUCAUCCGUUGGAUGAAUUAACAGCUCUUAGACAGUAUUUGAUGUUAGUCAAUUAGACCAGUAUAUUCAUUUUCCGUAUUCUUGUGAUUUAAAAAUAUCCCACAUUUUCCUCUGUACUUUUAAAACUAAACUUCUUUUUAAGUAAAGGAAACUUUCAUGUUAAUGAAGGCAGUAUUGCUGAUAUUUAGAUCCUCAAAUGGUGAUAUGCUGAGAAAAUUCUGCCCCUUUGACGGUACCUCUUUGAGCAUUUUUUUGGUACUUUGUUUUAUACCACUUCUGACCCCAUUAACUCUGGUCAUACAUACCUUUGCAAUACACCCUAAAAUGCAUUAUUUUUGUUCAAAAGUUUUGUUGUCUGGCAUUUAUGCAAACACAAUUCAAUAACUGUUUUUAAACAUACAUUGAAUUCUACUUCAUAUAUGGAUUUAAAUUUUAUUAAUUUUUGGUAAUGCCCUGUGUCAAAAUAUGUAAGAAUAACAUGAAUGCAUAUCAACUCAAGCAGCAAAACAAUGUACUUGCGUACUUCUUAAAUAUGUGCAGCACCACUGACACCAUGGUUAUGAUGCAUUGACUCUAAGCAGAAGGGAAGUGUGAUGCCAUUGAGUCAUUUCCUGUGCAUUUAGCCCUCUUAGCAUUAUUUUCAGACAUUUGCUCCAUACAUCUACCUUUGUAAAUUAUAUGUGACUAACAGUGAUCGCAACUUGGGGUCUCAUCAAUUCAUAAAAUGUUUGCAGUUCUUUUUUUCUUUCUUUAAUUCUUUCAGAAUUUACCUAGAUCCUGGCUUAACCUGCUGUCCAGUAAAACUGGUACUCCACUUCACUUCAGAAACUCCAUCACGUCUAUGAUCUACACGUCAUUUGAACAUCACUAGCAUCUGCUAUAUUGAACUAAUCACAAUGCUCUGUAGCCGUGUUUGAAAAUCUUACAUUUCCCAGGUAACUGUGUGUAUUACAUUAAUACCAUGAUCUUUCUGACUUUCCAUGAUUUACAAUGGAUGAUUUCAUCAUUUAAUCCAUAAUUUCACAAAAUUGCAUGAUCUAUCUUUGUAUUCAUUGUGCAAAUUUUGACAUGUAUUUAUAACUUAUUUAUCAGUCUUAAUUUAUAAAACUACAGAAUCGUCCUUAAUUUUUAUAUUUAUUUAAAGUAUGUGUGUGAUACAUGUUGCAAACCCAGUUCCUCACACGGUUAUUCUAUACCUGAGUUACCCCCAGCCUGAGAGUUACAACUUAAAAUUGCCUCCAUAAAGUUGAAAACUAUCCUGAAUGCCUAUUUGAUGUUUCAUGUUGAAUGUCUACUACAUAUUUGUAGAAUGAAUCAAUAAACACUGAACUUUUUAUGUGCUUGACAAUAAAUGAAAUUACUCUUGGUCACUGUAUUAGUCAUUGGAAAAUCCAUCCCUUUAUUUAGUCAAUUCAAAUUCAUUCAAAAAUUUCUAUCAAUUUUUAUUUUCCCUAAUAUCUUGCAUAUCUAUAUGCUAAUUUAUCUUCUUUAUAUUUAAAAUUAACAUUAAUCCAAUGUUUUUAUUGUAUCCUCUGUUACUGCUUUAGUUCAAGACAUAAAAUAUAUUUUAAAUUUAAACAUAAUAUAAAAAUUUCCAACUACCUCCUGUGUACUUGCUGUUACUAUUGUAAGUUACUUUCAUCAAAGAGGGUAAUAUGAAAAAGUUUGGAGGGAGAAAAGGGAAAAAGGGAAAUUAUUUAAUUAUGUUAUGAACUCAAGAAAUGACUAAUUAAAAAAGAAAUAGUAAGAUAACAUCCCUCUAGCUCAAAUCCUCCCAGAACUUUCCUUUCCUUCUUUGAGUAAAGGCCAACAUCUUUGCAAGACUGUUGGAACUAGAUCAUUGGCAUUGAAGGAAGAGUCUGGGUAGUUUUCUCACAUGAACUAGACCAUCUGUCAUUGAUUUUAUUCCUCCUGCCUACCUGUCAUUCUAUCAGGGCCUAGUCACACAUGUAUUUGAAGAUUCCCCUGAGCAAAUGAAGCUCCUUGGACUGCAUAUAUUUAUAAUAUAAAUAUAAAUAUAAGGAAUGUAUAUUUCUCUCUCUCUCUCUCUCUCUCUCUCUCUCUCUCUCUCUCUCUCUCUCUCUCUCUCUCACUCACUUUUCUAUUUCUCUCAGAUACAUGUAUGACACCAAACCCUCCCAUAUACUACUCCAUGUUCUAUUUCAAAUUCAAGGCCCCCCUUUUCAUAAACUGUUAUUGUAUAGAUAACUUAGAUUCUAUUCCUUGAUUUGAAAAAUCACCUGUGGUGGACUGUGAAAACCCAGUCUGGAUGUGAGCAGGUGAGAUCAGAGAUAAUAGGUAUUUGCUGUUUCUCAGAGCCCUUGAAUUAAUAGACUGAGUCUAGGAAUUUGUCUGAAAUCAAUGUCUUGCCCGGGAAUUUUCAGUGGUAAAGUGAUUGCAGAUCAGUUAGUAAGAUCUUGAUUCAACCCAGCAUUGCCAAACCAUAGAAAAUAAAUCAUACUUUUGUUUUGAGUUUUCUUCCUUCUUUGAUACCAACAUUUACUUCAUUAUUUUUCUAAAACAUUGCUUCCAUAAGAAUACUCUGAGAGCCCAAUUGUGAGGAUUCGAAUCCAAGAUUUGUCUUUAUUAAUAUUCACCUCUCACAUCCUCAUUUUUUUUGCCUUUUCUUUGUUUUUCCUCUAUGAAGAGAGAAUGUUUCUCUUUGGUUACCAUUGUGCUCCUGCCCUGACCCUGGAGGUAUCUGUAUGGUUUUGUUGUUCACUAUAGCUCAACAUAUGUUUGACCCCAACAUGCAGACCCAGGGAUGACUCCUCUUUUCUUUCUCUUCAUUUUUUAAUUAAUUUUUUGAGAAUUUUGUAAAAAUUAUUUUGAUCACUUUCAUACCUUCUCCAGGUUCUCUCAGAGUCACCCACAGUGCUGCCCACACCAACUAUUAGUUCCAUUAAGAAAAUAAAUAAAUAAAAAGGAAAGAAAGAAAAAGAACAUGUUAAGUAAAGUGGUGCUGCCUAUAUUCUUUUGGAUGAGGGACAAGAUAUUCUUCCCACUCAACAUACCCUGUCUCCUCAUCGAUGUUCUUGUCUAUUGUUAGAACCUAGCACUUACCAGCCUGUUAAGAGUAAUGUAUUUUGGCCAUCCCAUCACCAGAGUAGGUCAGUUCGGGCUGUAUCUCGACCAUUGCCAGCAGUCUGUUGUGGGGGUAUCUUUGUGGAUUUCUGUGGGCCUCACUAGCACAUUGCUUCUUCCUAUUCUUAUGUGGUCUUCAUUUACCAUGAUCUCCUAUUCCUUGUUCUCCCUCUCUGUUGUUGAUCCAGCUGGGAUCUCCCGCUCCCCCAAGCUCUCUUUCCCUCGACCCUGCCCUUCAUUACCCCCAGUCAUGACCAGGCUGCUCAUGUAGAUCUCAUUCCAUUUCUCUGUCAUUGGGCUAUCCCCGUGUCUUUCUUGGGGUCCUGUUUUCCAGGUAGCCUCCCUGGUGAUGUGAGUAGCAGUCCAGUCAUCCUUGUUCCACAUCUAGUAUCCUCCUAUGAAUACACGUUAACCAUCAUUAUUGAGAACCCAGUCUCAGGAAAAUGUUGACCAAUGAUGAUCACAGAGGAUAAAGUAUUUGCAAAACCUCCCCAUCUUUCUACUGAACACAAAAUUCUCAACUUUGGGCAAUCAUGUUGAUGAGACUAUAUCACUCUGGCUUCUGAAGUGACUAGGAGAACCAACUCACAGCACACUCCCUGACCCUCUGGCUUUUACAAUCUUUCUCUCACCUCUUCGGCAAUGUUCCCUGUGCAUGGUGGACAUGAACAUGUAACCUGGAUCAGCAAGGUGGAAUUUCACAUUGCCAGAUGCAGAAUGACCAUGAACCAUUCCCACUUUUGUAAUCUUGUGAUCUGAUCCAACAGAAAGAACAGAUUUCAAGAGUCCUUAGAUAUGAGGGGCUGUGAAGACUGGAGGUUCUGUCUGUCAAAUAAUUAAGGUGUGUCACAGUGGCCCAUCCAUUUAAGCCCAGGGUGAACAACUUUGAUGUGUAACCCUAAUUUGGCUAUUAUCUGCUAAUGAAGUCAUGAUUUAUCACAACUGCAUCAGUAUUUAUAUUCUUCUUAAUAUGUUUUCUUCCCUUUUUUCCUCACAGGUUAUAUUCUUUAAUAAAGAUUUCUUGCUCAAAAUCAUCUCAACAUCUGCUUCUGGAAAAUCCAGCAUUCAAUACUAACAUUUUCACAGACUAAGUUGUAAAGGUUUCCCAUAUUCCCACUGGACUGUAACUGAACAUAUUUCCCUGGGUACCAUUGCCUCACUGAUAAUCCAUGAAAACAGCUUUCAAAAGCAGAACAGAAAAGCACACAGUACAAAUGCUAAAAAUUUAAUGCAACAAAUGGCACAGGUGAUGUGUUUUGUUUACAACAGCCACCUUCUAUUUACACUUUAUCCAACUCCUCUUUCCAAAUUCAUACAUUGGCUCUCAAUAAGCUAUUUUCCCUCAAGAACUCCUAUGGGCAUUUGGGGAUUAAAAUGUUGCUUGCCAGAUGUAUUUCUUCAUUUACACUGGGUACCAAAAAAAAAAAAAAAAAAACCCACAGGUCUUAACAUAACAUCACCUCUUAAAGGAUUCUACCUGUGGAAAACUCCUAUAUGAUAAAACCUCAAUGGCAUGUUAUUUUUCUUUAGGGGGUAAGUAACAGAUGCACUUUUUUUAAAUCUUUUUUUUUCUUUCUGGGCCAGAGAGGGGAAUAAAGUCCAAAAGGACCAUUAUUUUAGCAAAAACAAUACUUCUUGUAUGAAAAUGUCUUAGGGGUUUUGAGUGUGGACACUAAUCUGGAUUCCACAGAUUUGAUUUUGUGGAAGCUCCUUCAGGGAAGUGCAUUUGUACUCUGGAUUUAAUGCGUAUUUUUCUGCUAAAGUAUACAGAAUAUAGAGGACUCUGUAUAUAGGUACAAUAUUUCCUUACAGAAAGCAUUUGAAGCACAUUCUAAGCCUUAGUGCCCACACCUGUACCCUAGAUGUUCCCCCAUUCUGGUCACCUGAUGGUUUGGGUCAUCUGGGGAGUGUUUGAAAUUGUUGCAGACUUCUAUCUCGAAAUUGCUGCUAUGAUCUUCCCCACAUACAGCUACUUUUCUACAUACUCUAUAAAUAACCCCCACAUAAAACUCUUCAGUGAUUAAUUUAAAUUUUAUGUGUAUAUGCUAGAUACUAAAAGUUCAAAGUAAAACUGUCCCACAAUCCCUAGUUACUGAUCUGGUCUAGUAGCAUUUAGUUAUUGCUUUAAAAUAUUUUAUUAUUUUCUUUACAAAUGUCUGCUCAUGUUUCAAGGUAAAUGAUUAAAACUUUUUAAAUGUUCCCAUUGCACCAGAAAAUAAUAUAAGCAAAUCUCUCUAAGCUUAAUUACCUUAGAGAAGAUUGCACAGGCGAUAUAAAGAAGGUGCCACACUUUAACAGAGUCCCUUCAAGCAUUCUGUUAUAUUUUUCAAAUAAAUGCCUUCAUGUAAUAUCUAGAUCCCCUGAUACAAAAGUGAGGACUAAUGGUAGCUUUUAUGAUAUUUUAUUCAAAUUUUCAAAGUGUGUCUUUUGCCAGAGACAUGUUCAUCUAUCAAAACAUUAUGGAAAUACAUUAAUUUUGUUGCAACAAAAAUACCUAUCAUCUGACAGAAACUGUUUCAAUAAAUUCUAAAAUCAAUGCUAACUGUGCUGCAAAUAAUUCUAGCUCGUAUUUCAUAGUUCACAACUGAUGUAUCCAAACAGUUUGGCCUUGGUGAGAAAACAAAAUAUAUUAAGCUGUAGCAUUUGGUCAAGAAAGUUGAUCAUUUCUAAAAAAUAAACAUAACGACAACAUUCCAACCAAAGUAAUGGAUUAGAUAUCAAAUGUUGUUAUUCCUUCUAAAGGAAAAUACAUAUGUAAAGCCAUUCCUGCAACAAAACACCCAGAAAAUAUGUAAUCGGCUCUCAAAGUACAACCAGAGAUAAUCUAGAUGGCUUCAGAACUAAGUGCAGAAGAAAUCCUUUUCUGGCAACGGAGAACUACAACCAAUGAUUUAGAGCACGUAUCAGAAGAGAGCUUACCUGCUUAAGGGAACUAUUUCUGAGGAUGCUAAACUUGAGGAGAAUUUUAAGUAGUGUAGAUGAGAAAUCUGGAAUUAUAAUAAAAGAUUAAUGAUAAAGUUCUUGCAAGCACAUGGUAUUCCUGAUCUCAUUGGUUUUGUACAAGAACACAGCUGAACCGAGCAGAAACAAAGCAAAGCACAAUAUUAGGAUGGGCCAGCCAAGAGACAAUGUGUAGUUUUCUUGAAUGUAAUUGAACGCUAAUACCUUCAUCAAGUCUUUUUAAUUUUAUGACUAUUUCUCCUCUAAUAUAAACAUGUUGGUGUUUUUCCUUCCUUGAGUGAGGUUAUGGACUUAAAAUUAAGAUAUUUUUAUUUGCUGAGGUGUUUUUCCUGGAGUGUCUACAUUUCUACUCACCAUCUAAAAAGGAGCAACAGCAGAAUGUAGAAAACAUAUUGUCAAGCCGAAAAUCAUAAGUCAAUGAGCUCAUUGAGAUUUUUUUACAGGGGCAUGACUCAGGGGUUACUUGUGGUGACAGGUAGAUAUGAUAAAAAUCCAACAACAAAAUAAAAGCAACAAUCCCACACACAGCAUACAGCAGAUGUGGUGAUGGUGUAUCCCUUGAUUUCUUCUUUUUUUUUUUUUUUUUUGUUUUUUUUUUUUGUUUGUUUGUUUGUUUGUUUUUGAGACAGGGUUUCUCUGUGUAGCUUUGCACCUUUCCUGGAACUCACUUUGGAGACCAGGCUGGCCUUGAACUCACAAAGAUCCACCUGCCUCUGCCUCUCGAGUGCUGGGAUUAAAGGCGUGCACCACCACCGCCUGGCUCCUUGAUUUCUUUGUAUCACUUAAAACAACUCUAGGCAAUCUCCUUUCCUCAACAAUUGCUUACUGACUGUAUAACCUUCAACGUGGGGCCUUGCAGAUCUUUUAGGUUUUUGGCAAGUUUCCUAUGGCUCUUGAGCCUUUUUCCUCCAUCCAGAGGGAACAGAAACAGAAUAUUCUUUAUUCAAACAUGUUUAAAUAAACUCUGAUUAUCAAAAGAGAAAUUCAUGCCUGGAUGGACUCUACUGAAAACAAAGUCUGACCUCAGUUUUGGAAUAAAGAAUUUGAAAAACAGGUAAGAAGGGUAAUAUUCUAUGUGUUGUUCCUAAUGUACAUAACAGAAACACAAAUCAAUUUUCAACCUCUGUAUUAGGCCACAUCAGAGAUUGGGGAAUUAGUAACAACUCAUAAACAUCUAUCAAUGUCUCACAUGAAGGCCUGUGGAAACUAAUGGAAAGUGUAUGAUAUAAUUAUGACAUUAAAAUACUCUCCAGGGACUAGAGAGAUUGAUGAUUAAGAGCCCUGGUCACUCUUUGCUCACAUGGCAAGUCACAAUCACCUGAGAUUCCCUUUUCAGAGGAAACGAUUCUCCCCUCUGGCCUCCACGGAUAUUAAGGACUUGUGUGUUUCACAGAAAUAUAACAACAUUCACGCAAAACACACAUAAAGACAAAAAUAAUGCAAAUAAUAAAAACAUGUUUCCAAUGAGGUAGAAUAGGAAACACUAUUUAUUAAGGGUGACGAUUUCAGCAAUCUCUCACUAGUUAAAAAGGUCCUGAUGGAGACCCUAUUUUUUUAUGCUCAAUUUAAUAAUGACACAGAGAAAUCAUUAUAUCCCUCACUGUGUAUAUGUUUUAUGAAAUAUUUGCUGUUGUUCUGUUUCACUAUUAUUAUAGAAAAUACAAAAUAACAGAAAAUAUACAUAAGGAAACCAACCCUAAGAUUAAUUAACACAAAUGAAUCAAUAUUUCAAGGUAAUAUAGGAUAAUAUAUUGUCAUGCAAAGUUCUUUCUAGUACUUAACUUAGCAUAUCCUGUGUCUUCUCCUCUUCGUUAUCUUCUAUGCAGUAGAUCUAUAUGUACCAUGAGAAAUAUAUCAUAUGAAUAUGCAUAACCGUCAUCCCACAACAUAAGUCAUUAUUUCUCUGCCACUCCAGCAUUUCAGUCUUCAAAAUAUACUAGAAAGAUACAUUUGCUAUAUAAAACUAGUUCAUAUGUAUACUCACAAGUGUUCAUGUUCAUGUGUUCUGAAGCAUGUGCCUUACAAUAAGACAGAGAACAAAAAUUACAAUAUUACAUAAGUCUAUAGUAUAUACAUUCUAAAAGUCUGACAGAAGAAAAACAGGCACACAUCUCACUAGCAUAUAAGAUGUCACAAAAAUUUCUUCAAGGUUGUUGAGUUACAAGAUGAAAAUAAGUUUUGUUUUUCUUUUUUAAGUUCAAGAUUUUUACUUUUAGGAAACAAAAGGCAUGUAGAAUUACUUUAUCAUAAAAAUGGAAAUUUUCUAGAUAAUUAAUAGUAGAAAUCUUAUAUAAAGAAACACAUCUGUACAUAGGUAUCUGAGGAACCAUAAAAUGUUACAUUAUUGAACUGAACAGUGUGGCUGGGAAAUGGCUCAGUGGUUAAGAGAACUUACAGCUUUUUCAGAGGACUCAGGUGUGAUUGCCAGCACAGGAUGGCAGUUUGCAACAGCCCUUACCUCUAGUUCCAGGGGAUCUUGCACCCUAUUCUAGGCUCCACUAUCAACAGGCAUACAUUUCAUAAACAUACAAACAUGAAGACAGACACUUGUAAGCAUAAAAAAAGUCAAUCUUAAAUACUAGAAAUAUGUAAGCUAUGCAGAGUUUACAAAAUAAUAUACUAUGUAUUUUAUUUUGGAGAACACUGUAUGUUUAUAAUACCUUUUGAAAGGAAUUCAUAAGGACUGAUGAGAAAACUUACAGGGAUCAAAUCACAUGCAAGCAUUCAUAUUUGGAUAGGACCUAAAGCAUCUAUGUAAAGGCAGGGGAUGGAGGGUACUAAGCCAGAAGUGUAAAGAUAGAUAACAGGAGGUUGUUGUCCAGCCAGGAAAGCCAAAACAGUGAGUUACAACUCAUGUGAGAAACCUUAUUUCAAAACAUUUGUUGGAGGGCAAGAGAGGAAGACAUUGAUGUCUUCCAGAUUACUUUACAUCCAGAUUACUUUAUAAAGAAAAUUUUGUAUUCGUUUUAUAUACCAAUCACAGAUCUCCCUCCUCCCUCCACCCACACCGCCAUAGUUAGUGGGCUCCAAAAAGCCAGCUCAUGCACCAGGGAUGGAUCUUGGUCCUACUGAGAGUGGGCCCCUUAAACAGAUCAAGCUACACAACUGUUUCACUUAUGCAGAGGGCCUGGUCCAGUCCUGUGGAGGCUCCACAGGUGUUGGUCUAAAUUUCAUGAGUUCCCACUAGUUUGGUUUGGUUGUCUCUGUAGGUUUCCCCAUCAUGAUCUUGAUGUCCCUUGCUCAUAGAAUCCCUUUUCUCUGUCAUUGACUGGACUCCUGGAGCUCGGCCUGGUGUUUGUCUAUGGAUCUCUGCAUCUGCUUCCAUCAGUUACUGGAUGAAGGCUCGAUGAUGACAGUUAGGGUAUUCACUGAUCUGAUUAUUGGGGUAAGACAGUUCAGACACCCUCUCCACUAUUGCUAGUAGUCUAAGCUGGGGUCAUCCUUAUGGAUUCCUGGGAACUUCCCUGGAACCCUGUUUCUCCCUAUCUUCAUGAUGUCUCCCUCUGUCAUAGUAUCUCUUUCAUUGCUCUCCCACUCCUUCCCUGUUCCAGCUUGACCAACCCAUUUCCUUAUGUUCUCAUCCCCCAUCCCUUAGUGGUUAAAGAGCACUACAUCCAGAUUAUACACACAGGUGAAUUUACCAAUAAAGUACACACACACACACACACACACACACACACACACACACACACACACA